rnacentral:lncRNA from 1 species
UAAUAUAAUUUAACAAUGGAUGGGUGUUUGGUUUUGAUGAAAAGUAAAUUAAACUUAAUUAAAUUACAGAAUUUACAAAAACAUGAAAUUAAAAUGAAAAGAUAAAUGACGGACUAGCUAGAGGGUUCUUCUCCACACAUGUUAUACUUGCAUACAAAAUGAUUUCCAGUUGUUCAUUUAAUAAAUUUUGAAUCUCAAUACUCCAAAUUAACCGUGAACAGCACUUUUUUAAUCUUCAAGUUUUCCUUAAGUUAUUGAAUUGGACGGGAAAACGCAU